GCUUAUGGCCAUACCACCCUGAAUACGUGUGAUCUCGGAAACUAAGCAGGAUCAAGCCUCGUUAGUACUUGGAUGGGAGAGUGCCUAGGAAUGCCAGGUGCUGUAAGCU
rfam:Scleropages formosus scaffold26091, whole genome shotgun sequence.